UUUGUUUUUUUUGGUUACCUUGCACAUGUUUACCUUGGCUGCUAGACUGUCGUUAGGUUGUUAUGCAUUGUCUAUGUGUUAUCAUAUUCUUAGUUGCUCACAAACUUUCAAACUGUGAACAUGGCGAGUCAUAGAAAAUCUUCGUGUAUUGACGAAAAAGUUCUAUUAAUAUGUGCAAUAAAGGCGGGAGAAAAGAUAAGUGAUGUUGGGAGACGCUUUGGAUUCAGUUGCUCUUGUGUGUCCACAAUAUGGAAGAACAAAGCAAAAAUUCUACAAGCCGAGGAGGAUGGAAAAUCUUCUAAGAAAUUAAAGAAACCUAAAUAAGAUCAAGCUAUGAUAUCGUGGUUUCACAGACAGCGCCAGAAUAAUAUGCCUGUCUCGGGGUCGAUUGUGAAAGCUAAGGCAGAGAAGUUUUCUGAAUAACUUGGCUUAAUGGCUUUCAAAGAUCAUAAGGAUGGCCCGGGAAGUUCAAGCAGCAUCACCAUAUAAACUGGAGAAGCACAAAAUGUUGAUACAAAUGUUACUCACGACUGGAUUAAUAGUGUGUGGCCAAAUUGAAAGAAAAGUACAUUCCAAAUGACAUUUUUAAUUAUGAAGCUGGAAAUUUCUUUAAGUUGACCCCCAAUAAAACUUUGAAAUAUAAAGGAGAAAAGUUUAUGGGAGGAAAAUUCUCCAAAGAGUGUAUCACAGUGCUUGUAGCUGCUAAUAUGAAUGCCACAGAAAAAAACGAAGAUAGUGGUAAAAGGAAAAUCAAAAAAUCUGCUGUGUUUUAAGAACAUUAAACAAUUACCAGUCACCAGUAAAGCUAAUAAAUCAGCCUGGAUGACAAGUCAACUUUUUAAAGAAGAAUUGCAAAGGUGGGAUGCAGAAUUAAAGGGACGAAAAAUCUAGCUUCUUGUCGACAACUGCCCUGCUCACCCUCUUAUAUCUAAACUUCAAAACAUAGUUGGCAUUUUUUUCCACAAAACAUGACUAGUGUUUUACAACCAAUGGAUCAAAGCAUGAUUAAAAGUCUAAAGGGUCACUACAAAAGGAAACUAUUGAUGGAUCUUCUAAUGCUUCAAGAUAUGUUGUAUAUGUAUUAGUAGAUGUUUAAGGGCGAAUUAUUAGUUAGUAAGUUGGUAAAUUUUUAAGUUUGAUCAAGAGAGCUUCAAUUCCAGGUAAAUUAUAAAUUUGAUUUUGAUGGACUGAUGGAAAUUCGUGUUUAUUAAGCGCAAUCAAAACACCGCCACCUCUUUCCAGCAAUGCAAGAUAAUGAUUUGUGAAAUUGUGAGAAUUUAUGCUUCAAUUAUUAAACCAAGUUUCUGUUAGACAGAUAAUGUUAUAUUCGGUGGAGACUAAAUCAUCAAUAAAUUCUGUAGAUUUAGUUCGCAACCCUCUUGACAUUUUGGUAAUAUAUUACCCACUCAAUGGGAUUAGGUCUCCGAACAUAACAAGGUUGCCGUGGAGUUACCAACAGAUGGCUUCUAGUUGAUGGUCCAGGCAUUUUCUGUAGUAUCAUUAUUAGGGGCCGGAAAAAUUCGCAAUUUGCGAUAGAUGCGAUUUUUUUGCGAAUUUUGAGGUUAGAUGCGAUUUUUUACUAAUUGUUGUUAUAAAUGCUAUAUUUGCGAAAUCGCGGUAAAAUUGCCAUUAUCGGACGAAAAACCACUAUAGAAUGCAACAAAAUGGCUUGAACACACAUUCCUCAAAGUAUUUUUUUUGAAAAUAGCCACCAUAACACAAUUACCGUAAACAAUAGCUUCUGACAAGGCUUGUUGAAGGAAUAAAAUCCGAAUCCUAACCUUUAUUUAUGAAACAUUCCUUAACCAAAUAUCACGCAUGAUAGUAUAGAAUAAGUAAUUUUGUAAAUUUAUUCUUUACGAUUUACUCAAGAUACCGUUGAAUGUUGUUUAGAAAAGAAUGUUCACACUACUUAUCGACGCAGUUAUUUUGUUUUGUUAGAUCACAUCACGUUCGCCUACGUUCGCCAUUGCAUCGUGUGUUGCCUGUUCAUGAAGAGUAUCUAACCUAACAAAACAAAAUUUCCCGGGAAGCGCAUCACGGAAACCAACAACCUAGAAAAUAUCUAGGUCGUUGACGGGAUCGUAGUGAACUUGCAAAGAUAAAAAUGAAAAUAUUUUAAAUGCUGAAAACUACUACAAAUAUUUUAGUACGCGGUUUUUUACAUUCGUUGAUAAUCACUUUAGUCUUCAAAUUUUUUUCUGAUCAAUAUUUUACAUAGGGACAAAUCAUACAUUUUGUGGUGCACGUUUAGCGUACUGAAGUUGGUCAACUCGAAUCGUCAGUUUGUUUCCAUCUGAAAUUACUAGUGGUCAAACGUUUGUUUACAAAUACCGUUUAAUGAUUUUGGUUUGUGUUAAAAUUCGUCAUAAUGGCAGCGGGCUCGAGGGUCCUACACUCGCCUUUUGCUGAUCAACACGUCGUGCAGGCCGAUGAAAAAGCGGUCGACCAGGUUGUGCUUCGUGCCUAUCAGCACAUUCAUGUCAUUGUCGCGCCGCUGAACCUCCCACAGCGUCACGGUGAACGCCACCCAGAACGCUGGCGUCUGCAACCCGUUCACACACAUGUGAACUACGUACAUCACAGGCUCCACACGAUGCCAGUAGUACCACAAAAAAAAAAAAAACACUAGUCCUUGAUACCAGGACGGCAAGACAUCACUUAGCCAAGAGCAGAGAGCACAGUAGUCUUGUGUUUCUUGAUACCAACCAUGUUAAACACAGAUGACACUAGUUUCUUUAUGGUCAAAAACAAAGCAUUUCCAAGUUAUUUUAUAACUGUGAUUUCAAUACAUAGACACAUGUACAUUCCCAUGGCCAGCACUUGGGCUUGUGACCAGUGGCGGAUUUACCAGCAGGCUGAGUAGGCUUGAGCCUAGGGUGCCAGAUUUUUGGGGCAGCAAAUUAGGGGACCAAUUUUUUUUUUCCCUCAUAGAAAUCAAAAAGAUUUCUGCAUGAUGUGACGUCGUCCGGGCCUGCGGCCCUCUUUCGAGUCCGAUAUGCCACCGCCCAAACACCACCAUCUCUGUUCAAACCUCCCGCUUGUGCGUGCGUGUGUGCAUGUCUGAGUGUGUUGGUAGCCCGGCAAGAGGGCACUUAGUUGCAGUGCGCCGCACCCCUAUUUGUAAUUAAUAUUAUUGUAACCUUUUCUUUUCGCCCCUAAAAUAGUGUCCCGACGAGCCAGUAAGUGAGUGUCUUUUAUUUAACUAAUAUAUUAUGUUUUUGUAAUAAAAUACGUGCAAACACGGACAAGGGCGCUCCCUAGCGGGCGACGAAGGAACCAACACAUAACUUUAUUCAAACUUUAUUUUACCACAUAAGUAAUUAUUACAGACGGUCUGGUCAUGGAUGUGAUAUGCUAAUUUUUAUAAAGAGGCUUUUUUUUUUUUUUAAUAAUAACCCAGGGCACGCAGUCGCAGAGAUGUAACAGUAAUUGUGUUUGGCGCGAAGAGCGCCAUGUUGCCUGCCGCAAGCCCUUGUCUCAGCCCAGUCUCCUUCUUCAGCCGGCCGAGAGUGGACGUCUCUGCAGACACCCCGAGGACAUCACCGUUGUCUCCCCGAUAAGUAGUUCUGCUCAGUUAAUUAAUUCAAAUCGUUUUCUCUUAUUCCUCAGGGCCUCUCUUGGUCAGUGAGGCUGUUUAAUUAGUGAUUUCUAUACUCUCCGGAGUUUUUAACCACCCGUGUUCUAAGUAAAGGCUUGAGGCGACCACGUGUGUGGUCCGCCUCCUCAACUAAACCGAUUCGUGCCUCGGGUGUUUUCUAACAGUAUCAAGGAAGGAUUGUAUGAGGGCGUGUAACGUGUAAGUAAAUAAAAACAACUUAAUUGAGUCACGUCACUUUGUGUUCGGGGGGGGCCACGUGGGUCCUUAACCCAGUCAGCGGCAUGUGGGACGCCCUAAGAGCCCACUGCGGUUAAGUAGAAGCGUGCCCGACGCUGAGAACGGGCUCGGUUAGGAACAGGUGUUGAAUUAAAUAUCAGGAGGGCUAAUAUCUCGCCGCACACGGGCCACGUAACGCCCUGAGUAAGAGUAUCAAGCCGGGUCCACGUGCCCACUCACGUGGUGGCGCCCACUAUUUCCACCAAUAAUUCAGAUCGUAACGCCGGUACGCCCUCAGAUGGUUUUCUGUUUUCUGAUGUUUUACAGAUAGAAGUCUGCAACAAAUUUUGCCGAUGACUUUCCCCUCUCUCUUAUUGUACGUUCCAUGAAUCCGUGUAGCAAACUUUCAUAUUCUAGAGUAAAACAGCUAGUUCCCCCCCCCCCCUCCACAAACCAGUAAUCUGCCUCUGCGCCCUCUGCCCACACUUUGAAUGAGUGAAAAGAGCGAAAUUAUAGAAAAUGUAUUUCUCUCUUCCCACUAUCAACCCAUACAUGCCAGUCCUCCUACUGGUUGGAGUCUGUGAACUGGAUGGUUUGUAUAUAAUGAACACGAUUACUUACGACGAAAUCAUCGACGAUUUUGCCAACAAAAAAAUCGCGCAAAAACGUAUUGUAACGAACUUUUACAACUUGACUGAGUUGAUUAUUUUUAACUGUUUGUAAGUGCAAUAAAGAUUAUUUAUUCACAUU